rnacentral:pre_miRNA from 1 species
UGCACUGGCGCCUUCCGGAGGCCUAAUCUCAUUUGGUAUCUCUGGGGGGCUGAGCGACGUCCAGGGUACCAGAUGAGAUGGGGUCUCGGGGAGCACCUCCAUGCAUGACG